UAUAUCAUUUCUAGUCAUUAUGCGAUCACUAUGAAAUACAAUACAUUAUGUAAAUCAUAAACACAAUAUAAAUCUUCAAUCGAACUAGAAAUCUCGUGGUUAGAAGUCGCAUUUUAUCGCGUGCCAAAUAAACAAAUAACACCAUAGUAAUUUUUAUGAAUUAAAUUCUUCGAUAGGUAUUUGUCGAUUGUUCCAUUGCUGGUUCCGAGCAUUAGCUAUUUAAACGGCGGCCCUGGCAGAGUUCAAUAAGAUCUCGUCCGUGUUGGUGCGCGAAGAAUGGUCCUUAUUGCUGUAGUGGGCGCAGCGGUGGCAAUCAUCGGUGCGGCGCUCCUGACAGCUACGAUGAUAGACAUGUUCCCGCGCUAUGAACCGACUAUGACUACUCUGCCACCUGAUUCUAUGGCACAUUACACGACUGUUAAGGUUGCUGCCCUUCCACCAGAUCCUGACAUUGUAUUACGACGACCCUUAAAAAAAAUCAUAUAUAAAUGAAGAUUAUAGCUGUUAUCGAACAGAUAUGUCGUCUGUAGUCUGUAGGCGGUACAUUUCUUUUUCCAAUGGGAUACUGGGUUUUAAGAGCAACCAUUUUUACAAGCAUAUUUGCUUGGUUUUGUUGAUGCAAUUGUCAUGCCAACUCCGCCCUCAAUGAUUUGGAAUUGGUGUGAUGAUGUUUACUUCCUUAAGUAGGGAAAUUUAGUUAGGUAGUUCAUAGUGAUUUAGGGGAUUUUGUUGUACAUAGUUUAAAUAACAAUCAGGGGUUUAUUAAUUUUAAGUAAUAAAGUUAUUGUUGCAUUUUUUGUUUGGUCUUUUUAUGUUAUUUGAGAUCGGGUGAUUAAAGUGAAUGUUAA